rnacentral:rRNA from 1 species
UACGUAGGGGGCAAGCGUUGUCCGGAAUCAUUGGGCGUAAAGAGCGUGUAGGCGGCCAGGUAAGUCCGGUGUGAAAUCUCGAGGCUCAACUUCGAGCUGUCGGUGGAAACUGUCUGGCUAGAGUCCGGAAGAGGAGAAUGGAAUUCCUGGUGUAGCGGUGAAAUGCGCAGAUAUCAGGAAGAACACCCGUGGCGAAGGCGGCUCUCUGGUACGUGACUGACGCUGAGACGCGAAAGCGUGGGGAGCAAACAGG